GCAGCAGGUCGGUUUGUCGCUGCGGCGCCAAGUCGCGGAGGAAAGUCCGGGCAACGCAGAGCGCCAUACUUCCUAACGGGAAGCCAUUCGCAAGGGUGGAUAAACGUAACAGAAAACAACCGCCGCGGCCCAGUGAAGGUCGGGGUAAGGGUGAAAAGACAGGGUAAGAGCCUGUCGGGCGCUGCAGCGAUGCAGCGCGCCGUACGUUUUUAUGGGUUGCAAGGCCAUGUACACCGGCAUCCGAGGGUUGCUCGCCCGACGCCGGGGGGUAGGCCGCUAAAGGGAAGCGGCAACGCUUUUCCGUAGAUAAAUGACAAACGUCCGAUUCAUCGGAACACAGAACCCGGCUUACAGACCUGCUGUUUUU
rnacentral:RNase_P_RNA from 1 species